rnacentral:rRNA from 1 species
GACGAACGCUGGCGGCGUGCUUAACACAUGCAAGUCGAACGGAAAGGCCCCCUUGUGGGGUACUCGAGUGGCGAACGGGUGAGUAACACGUGAGUAACCUACCCUUGACUUUGGGAUAACUUCAGGAAACUGGGGCUAAUACCGGAUAGGAGCUCCUGCUGCAUGGUGGGGGUUGGAAAGUUUCGGCGGUUGGGGAUGGACUCGCGGCUUAUCAGCUUGUUGGUGGGGUAGUGGCUCACCAAGGCUUUGACGGGUAGCCGGCCUGGGAGGGUGACCGGCCACAUUGGGACUGAGAUACGGCCCAGACUCCUACGGGAGGCAGCAGUGGGGAAUAUUGCACAAUGGGCGGAAGCCUGAGGCAGCAACGCCGCGUGCGGGAUGACGGCCUUCGGGUUGUAAACCGCUUUCGCCUGUGACGAAGCGUGAGUGACGGUAAUGGGUAAAGAAGCACCGGCUAACUACGUG